rnacentral:rRNA from 1 species
GACGAACCGUGCAAACGUUGUUCGGAAUCACUGGGCUUAAAGGGCGCGUAGGCGGGCGGCCAAGUCCGGGGUGAAAGCCCCCAGCUUAACUGGGGAAUUGCCUUGGAUACUGGUCAUCUCGAGGGAGGUAGGGGCAUGCGGAACUUCCGGUGGAGCGGUGAAAUGCGUUGAUAUCGGAAGGAACUCCGGUGGCGAAAGCGGCGUGCUGGACCUCUUCUGACGCUGAGGCGCGAAAGCCAGGGGAGCAAACGGG